rnacentral:rRNA from 1 species
AGUAAUACAUCGGAACGUGUCUUCUAGUGGGGGAUAACUGCCCGAAAGGGCAGCUAAUACCGCAUGAGACCUGAGGGUGAAAGCGGGGGAUCGCAAGACCUCGCGCUGGAAGAGCGGCCGAUGUCCGAUUAGCUAGUUGGUGAGGUAAAGGCUCACCAAGGCGACGAUCGGUAGCUGGUCUGAGAGGACGGCCAGCCACACUGGGACUGAGACACGGCCCAG